rnacentral:rRNA from 1 species
AGUGAACGCUGGCGGUAGGCCUAACACAUGCAAGUCGAACGGCAGCACAGAGGAGCUUGCUCCUUGGGUGGCGAGUGGCGGACGGGUGAGGAAUACAUCGGAAUCUACUUUUUCGUGGGGGAUAACGUAGGGAAACUUACGCUAAUACCGCAUACGACCUACGGGUGAAAGCAGGGGAUCUUCGGACCUUGCGCGAUUGAAUGAGCCGAUGUCGGAUUAGCUAGCUGGCGGGGUAAAGGCCCACCAAGGCGACGAUCCGUAGCUGGUCUGAGAGGAUGAUCAGCCACACUGGAACUGAGACACGGUCCAGACUCCUACGGGAGGCAGCAGUGGGGAAUAUUGGACAAUGGGCGCAAGCCUGAUCCAGCCAUACCGCGUGGGUGAAGAAGGCCUUCGGGUUGUAAAGCCCUUUUGUUGGGAAAGAAAUCCAGCUGGUUAAUACCCGGUUGGGAUGACGGUACCCAAAGAAUAAGCACCGGCUAAGUCCGUGCCAGCCGCCGCCGUAA